rnacentral:lncRNA from 1 species
UUCUUCUGUUUACUGAGUAUGUUGCUUGUGUUAGUUGAAUCUUUACGAUGAUUUAUAUGAUGGUUCUUCUGUAUGCUACUCGUACUAGUUGAAUCUCUACGAUGAUUUGUAUGAUGGUUCUUCUGUAUGCUGCUCAUGCUAGUUGAAUCUCUAUGAUGAUUUUUAAGAUAGUUCUUCUGUAUGUUGCCGUAAUAGUUGAAUCUUUAUGAUGAUUUGUAUGAUGGUUCUUUUGUUUACUGAGUCAACUCCUCGUAAUAGUUGAAUCUCUUGGAUGAUUUAUAUGAUGAUUCUUUUGUUUACUGGGUAUGCUACUUGUACUAGU